GGAUUCCCCUAGUAGCGGCGAGCGAAGCGGGAAGAGCUCAAAUUUAUAAUCUGGCACCUUCGGUGUCCGAGUUGUAAUCUCUAGAAGUGUUUUCCGCGCUGGACCGCACACAAGUCUGUUGGAAUACAGCGGCAUAGUGGUGAAACCCCCGUAUAUGGUGCGGAUGCCCAGCGCUUUGUGAUACACUUUCAAUGAGUCGAGUUGUUUGGGAAUGCAGCUCAAAUUGGGUGGUAAAUUCCAUCUAAAGCUAAAUAUUGGCGAGAGACCGAUAGCGAACAAGUACCGUGAGGGAAAGAUGAAAAGCACUUUGGAAAGAGAGUUAACAGUACGUGAAAUUGUUGGAAGGGAAACGCUUGAAGUCAGACUUGCUUGCCGGAGCUUGCUUCGGUUUGCAGGCCAGCAUCAGUUUUCCGGGGUGGAUAAUAACGGUUUGAAGGUAGCAGUCUCGGCUGUGUUAUAGCUUUCCGUUGGAUACAUCCUGGGGGACUGAGGAACGCAGCGUGCUUUUUGCGAAAGAUUCGUCUUUUUCACGCUUAGGAUGCUGGUGGAAUGGCUUUAAACGAC
rnacentral:rRNA from 1 species